GACGAACGCUGGCGGCGUGCUUAACACAUGCAAGUCGAACGGAAAGGCCCCUUUGGGGGUACUCGAGUGGCGCACGGGGGAGUAACACGUGAGUAACCUGCCCUUGACUUCGGGAUAACUUCAGGAAACUGGGGCUAAUACCGGAUAGGAAUCCUUGCUGCAUGGUGGGGGUUGGAAAGCUUCGGCGGUUUUGGAUGGACUCGCGGCUUAUCAGCUUGUUGGUGGGGGAGUGGCUUACCAAGGCGUUGACGGGUAGCCGGCCUGAGAGGGCGACCGGCCACAUUGGGACUGAGAUACGGCACAGACUCCGAAGGGAGGAAGAAGGGGGGAAUAUUGCACAAGGGGCGGAAGCCUGAUGCAGCAACGCCGCGUGCGGGAUGACGGCCUUCGGGUUGUAAACCGCUUUCAGCAGGGGCGAAGCUUGUGGUGACGGUACCUGCAGAAGAAGCACCGGCUAACUACGUG
rnacentral:rRNA from 1 species